GUGUGAGGAAAUGAAUCAGUCAUCCUGGGGAAGCAGGCGAUCCGUCCGUGGCUCCAAACACUCUUUUCCUCUCUGUACCGCUGCAGGGCCAGGAGGUUCAUCUGUGCUGGAUGGCUUUUUAAUCUGAAAUAUUCAUGAUCCUACAAAGUGAAGCCACAGAUGCCAAACUUCAUCCUCCCAAUGACAUCACUCACAACGUCUCCCAUUGGACCGAGGUUCUGCCACUGAGAAACACUGACCAAUAACCGGCUACUGGUUCUGGCUGAGGAGGAUUGUGCUGGUGCAGAGCAGUAGCCAUGGUGACAGUGGAUGCUGAGCACUGCCACGACUUUGCGUGGGCAGAGUCUGAAUGGGCGAAUGACAUCACAUGAGGAGACAGGAGAAAAACAACAUCUCCUCCAGUUCCUCUGUCCGUUUGUCUGCCUGUUAUCAUAACAACAAAUGGUGCUUGGAGGCAGAUGCCAAAUGAAGCAUCUUUGUUAUCUCAGACAGAAGAAGAAACCGCUAAAAUAAUAAUCAUUUGACAUCUGGGAAAGAAAAAAAA